ensembl:lncRNA
GUAUGUGUUCUUGUUCAUAUAGAUUCAGUUUCUCUCCGCCUGAAAUUAUAUACUCUGGCUCGAAUUGAUUCAGUUUCUGUCCACCUAAAGGUAUAUUUUCUUGCUCGAAUUGAUUCAGUUUUUCUCCACCUAAAGGUAUAUUUUCUUGCUCGGAUUGAUUCAUUUUCUCUCUGUCUGAGGGUAUGUGUUCUUGCACAUAUAGAUUCAGUUUCUCUCCGCCUGAAGUUAUGUACUCUGGCUCGGAUUGAUUCAGUUUCUCUCCACCUGAAGGUAUCUUCUCUUGUUCAGAUUGAUUCCGUUUCUCUCCACCUAAAGGUAUAUUCUCUUGCUCGGAUUGAUUCCGUUUCUCUCCGCCUGAAGUUAUGUACUCUGGCUCGGAUUGAUUCCGUUUCUCUCCGCCUGAAGUUAUAUCCUCUUGUUCAGAUUGAUUCAGUUCCUCUCUGUCUGAGGGUAUGUGUUCUUGCACAUAUAGAUUCAGUUUCUCUCCGCCUGAAGUUAUGUACUCUGGCUCGGAUUGAUUCAGUUUCUCUCCACCUGAAGGUAUAUACUCUGACUCGGAUUGAUUCAUUUUCUCUCCGUCUGUUGGUAUGUGUUCUUGUGCAUUUACGUUCUGUUUCUCUCCGCCUGAAGUUAUGUACUCUGGCUCGGAUUGAUUCAGUUUUUCUCCACCUAAAGGUAUAUUCUCUUGUUCAGAUUGAUUCAGUUUCUCUCCGCCUGAAAUUAUAUACUCUGGCUCGAAUUGAUUCAGUUUCUGUCCACCUAAAGGUAUAUUUUCUUGCUCGAAUUGAUUCAGUUUUUCUCCACCUAAAGGUAUAUUUUCUUGCUCGGAUUGAUUCAUUUUCUCUCUGUCUGAGGGUAUAUGUUCUUGCUCACAUAUAUCCAGUGUCUCGCCGCCUGAAGUUAUAUCCUCUUGUUCAGAUUGAUUCAGUUUCUCUCCGCCUGAAAUUAUAUACUCUGGCUCAGAUUGAUUCAGUUUCUCUCCUCCUGAAGGUAUCUUCUCUUGUUCAGAUUGAUUCCGUUUCUCUCCACCUAAAGGUAUAUUCUCUUGCUCGGAUUGAUUCCGUUUCUCUCCGCCUGAAGUUAUGUACUCUGGCUCGGAUUGAUUCAGUUUCUCUCCGUCUGUUGGUAUGUUUUCUUGUGCAUUUACGUUCUGUUUCUCUCCGCCUGAAGGUAUAUGCUCUUGCUCAUAUUGAUUCAGUUUCUCUCCGCCUGAAGGUAUCUUCUCUUGUUCAGAUUGAUUCAUUUUCUCUCCAUCUGAGGGUAUGUUUUCUUGCACAUAUAGAUUCAGUUUCUCUCUGCCUGAGGGUAUAUACUCUUGUUCAGAUUGAUUCAGAUUCUCUCCAUCUGUGGGUAUGUGUUCUUGUGCAUUUAGAUUCAGUUUCUCUCCUCCUGAAGGUAUAUACUCUUGUUCAGAUUGAUUCAGUCUCUCUGAGUGUAUAUACUCUUGCUCAGGUUGAUUCAGUCUCUCUGAGUGUAUAUACUUUUGCUCAGUUUGAUUCAGUCUCUCUGAGUGUAUCUGCUCUACCUCCUCACUGUAUAAUAUGUCUUGUGUCUGGGAAAGUUCAGUGUGAGACUCAAUUUGAAGACUCAGUACUGACUCGCUCUCAAUCAUCUGCCCAGUAAAGUGUUCACUGUAACUGGAUAUAGAUAAAUUCUCUAGCUCUUGCUCCACCAAUCUAUCAAUUCUUUCUUCAUUAUAGUCCUCAUCAGAGCACACCAUGGAGUACUCUCCAGGUUCUGUAAGUUCCUCAUAGGAUUGCUCCUCUUCUGCCUCCUGAAUCAACUGAUCUACAGCAUUCUCCUCAUCGUUCUCCUGUGUAGCAUGCUCCUUUGUUUGGCUAGCAUCCACGUCGCCUUGGUGAGUGGAGCCCAUGUGACGUUCCUGAUCUAUGACAUCUCCUUCUGACUCUUCAUACAGAUCCUCCAUGGUGUCAAACUGUUUGGACUUGCCUUCGCCCCAGGUGUCUGUUCCUGUCUGGCAAACCUCCCUGUCCUCUUCACCAUCACUGGAGUCGCUCUCGCCCAUGUGUGAAGCCAGAGUGUUGACAUCCGUCUCGUCACUCUUGUAACGGAUCAAGGGGUGUGUGUCGGCUAGUGUGUUGUCCUGAGCAUAGCUGUCGCCUUCUAGCUCAGCCCUCCAUGAAACAGAAUUAUUUUGACAGUAGUUUGCCUCAUCAUGAUCCUCUUUGUCAUUGUCGGAUAUAUUCAGUUUAUCUCCGCCUGAAGUUAUGUACUCUGGCUCGGAUUGAUUCAGUUUCUCUCCACCUGAAGGUAUAUACUCUGACUCGGAUUGAUUCAUUUUCUCUCCGUCUGUUGUUAUGUGUUCUUGUGCAUUUACGUUCUGUUUCUCUCCGCCUGAAGUUAUGUACUCUGGCUCGGAUUGAUUCAGUUUCUCUCCGCCUGAAGGUAUAUGUUCUUGCUCAGAUUGAUUCAGUUUCUCUCCGUUUGAAUUGAUAUACCUUUGCUCAGACUGAUUCAGUUUCUCUCUGCCUGAAGGUAUUUGCUCUUGCUCGAAUAGAUUUUGUUUCUCUUCAUUUGAAGGUAUAUACUCUUGAUCAGACCGAUUGGGUUGGGCUUCUCUGUUAUUCCACAUCUCUUCCUCUUUCACAUGAUACUUUGCUUCUUUCCAAUCAUCCAUUCUUUCUCCAAUUCCAUUCUCUUCAUUGUACCCUGCCACUCGAUCCCAUUCAUCCUUUACAUCCCCAUUGGGGUUCAGUGCAUGUUGUUCCUCACGUUUGUUAGACAUAUCAUUUUCAUCAUCCACUUUUGUGAAAUUUAUGUCACCUUCCUCCACUCUUUCAACAUGGUGAAAUACCUCUUCUGACCAGUGAGAAGCUUGAGCAGAUUCAUAUGAGAUAAUCUCCUCUUGGUUGAACUUAUCGAUUCUUUCUGUCAUGUCAUUUUCCUUAAUGAAUCCUCCCAAUCUUUCACAAUCAUCGUUACCAUACCCAUAGGGGUGCAAUUCAUCUUCCAAUUGCUCCUCAUGUUUGUUAGACAUAUCAUUUUCAUCCUCUUUUGGGAGAUGAAUAACAUCUUCCUCCAGUCUUUUAACAUGGCGAAAUGCCUCUUCUGAACCGUGGGAGGCUUGAGUGGAUUCAUAUGACAUAUUGUCCUCUUGGUUGAACUCUAUUGGCUUGUUGUAACUUUUCCCCGCCCCAUACUCAAAAGCUUGACUGCUUGUGAAGGUUUCAAAUGCUUGCUCUAGCACUGAUGCAGUUUCAGAUUCCAAGCCUUCGUUUCUCGCCCAUUCAGCAUCUUUCUUUGCUGUUUCAAGCUCUCUUUCCUCCGAUGCAUUCAUGGGACCGUAAGGCAUAUCUAGUAGAGGUUCCUCUUUUUCAAAAUACAUUUCAAAAGGUACAUCAUUAUCAUCAUUCGCUGAGAAAGCAGAAUGUGCCCCUGUCACCGAACCUGCUCUCUCAUAGCUCACUGAAGGGCUGUAGAGCUCUUGAGCAUCAGUGCUGAACACAGUUGGCAUACUGAAGCUGGUCUCGACCCGGUGACUCAUGGCAGAUUCCAGAACGGGUUUCUCUUCAGCAAACCAGGUUCUGACUAUGUUCUGAUCCUCUUCCUCCUUUUCCAUAUCCCACAUGGAUUGUUCCUUGUGGUCAGAUCCAAGCAAAGAUACAACAUCAGCUCCUGCCUCUUCAGUGGGAGGUGAGAGAGGCUCAGCAUAGUUGACUUCUAUAUGGACAUCUUGGGGUCUGAAGUGGUGGACUGAAAUUCCGUCCUGUGGUACUUUGAGGUAAGGCGUUGAACAACUUACCUGGUGGUUGGACCCUACGCCAAAGUCGAUAUGCUCUUCUGUCUUUCGACAACUCUCAGGUGUUUCAUUCAGGGUUACCCGAUUUUGAGUCCAGAUUGGUGAUGCGGACAUCAUUGUCACAUUGGAUCGUGGACUUGCUCUAUGGAUGGUAGAGAUGGGCCUGAUCAUGUGACUGGUAGCCAGCUGUGUCUGGAAGCUUU